rnacentral:rRNA from 1 species
GUCCGCACCGUAAACGAUGAUUACUCGUUGUUGGCAAUAUGACCGUCAGCGACCAAGCGAAAGCGAUAAGUAAUCCACCUGGGGAGUACGCCGGCAACGGUGAAACUCAAAGGAAUUGACGGGGCCCGCACAAGCGGAGGAGCAUGUGGUUUAAUUCGAUGAUACGCGAGGAACCUUACCUGGGCUUGAAAGUUAGUGACCGGUUCUGAAAGGACUUUUCCGCAAGGACACGAACUAGGUGCUGCAUGGCUGUCGU